rnacentral:tRNA from 1 species
GGACCCUUCGUCUAUCCGGUAGGACAUCCCUUUGCCAAAGAGAAGAAAUGGGUUCGAGGCCCAUAGGGUCCG